rnacentral:rRNA from 1 species
GUGAGGAAUAUUGGUCAAUGGACGGAAGUCUGAACCAGCCAUGCCGCGUGCAGGAAUAAGGUCCUAUGGAUUGUAAACUGCUUUUAUUCGGCAAUAAACCUCUUUACGUGUAGGGAGCUGAAGGUACCGAAGGAAUAAGCACCGGCUAACUCCGUGCCAGCAGCCGCGGUAAUACGGAGGGUGCAAGCGUUAUCCGGAAUCAUUGGGUUUAAAGGGUCCGCAGGCGGGCUAUCAAGUCAGAGGUGAAAUCCCACAGCUUAACUGUGGAACUGCCUUUGAAACUGAUGGUCUUGAAUUAAGUGGGCGUUGGCGGAAUAUGACAUGUAGCGGUGAAAUGCAUAGAUAUGUCAUGGAACACCGAAAGCGAAGGCAGCUAACGAUACUUAUAUUGACGCUCAUGGACGAAAGCGUGGGUAGCGUACAGGAUUAGAAACCCCUGUAGUCC